UUCUGGUUGAUCCCGCCGGACCUGACUGCUAUCGGAUUGAUACUAAGCCAUGCGAGUCAUUGUAGUAAUACAAGGCAGACGGCUCAGUAACGCGUAGUCAACCUAACCUAUGGACGGGAAUAACCUCGGGAAACUGAGUAUAAUGCCCGAUAGAACAUUAUGCCUGGAAUGGUUUAUGUUCCAAAUGAUUUAUCGCCGUAGGAUGGGACUGCGGCCUAUCAGUUUGUUGGUGAGGUAAUGGCCCACCAAGACUAUUACAGGUACGGGCUCUGAGAGGAGUAGCCCGGAGAUGGGUACUGAGACACGGACCCAGGCCCUAUGGGGCGCAGCAGGCGAGAAAACUUUGCAAUGUGCGAAAGCACGACAAGGUUAAUCCGAGUGGUUUCUGCUAAAGGAACCUUUUGUUAGUCCUAGAAACACUAACGAAUAAGGGGUGGGCAAGUUCUGGUGUCAGCCGCCGCGGUAAAACCAGCACCUCAAGUGGUCAGGAUGAUUAUUGGGCCUAAAGCAUCCGUAGCCGGCUCUAUAAGUUUUCGGUUAAAUCUGUACGCUCAACGUACAGGCUGCCGGGAAUACUGCAGAGCUAGGGAGUGGGAGAGGUAGACGGUACUCGGGAGGAAGGGGUAAAAUCCUUUGAUCUCUCGAUGACCACCUGUGGCGAAGGCGGUCUACCAGAACACGUCCGACGGUGAGGGAUGAAAGCUGGGGGAGCAAACCGGAUUAGAUACCCGGGUAGUCCCAGCUGUAAACUAUGCAAACUCAGUGAUGCAUUGACUUGUGGUCAAUGCAGUGCUGCAGGGAAGCCGUUAAGUUUGCCGCCUGGGAAGUACGUACGCAAGUAUGAAACUUAAAGGAAUUGGCGGGGGAGCACCACAAGGGGUGAAGCCUGCGGUUCAAU
rnacentral:rRNA from 1 species